AUUGCUUCUCAGCCUUUUGGCUAAGAUCAAGUGUAGUAUCUUGUUCUAGUUCUUAGUGGGAAUGUCAACUUUUCUCCAUUCAAUAUGAUAGUUGUAGGUUUAUCAUAAAUGGCUUUUAUAACUUUGAAAUAUAUUCCUUUGUGCCUAGCUUAU
rnacentral:snRNA from 1 species